rnacentral:rRNA from 1 species
ACGCACGCUGGCGGCGUGCUUCACACAUGCAAGUCGAACGGUGAAGCGCCUUCCUUUUUGGUGGGUGUGGAUGAGUGGCGAACGGGUGAGUAACACGUGAGUAACCUGCCCCCUUCUUCUGGAUAACCGCAUGAAAGUGUGGCUAAUACGGGAUAUUCUGGGUCUGUCGCAUGAUGGGUCUGGGAAAGAUAUUGUUUCGGUGGGGGAUGGGCUCGCGGCCUAUCAGCUUGUUGGUGGGGUGAUGGCCUACCAAGGCGGUGACGGGUAGCCGGCCUGAGAGGGUGGACGGUCACACUGGGACUGAGACACGGCCCAGACUCCUACGGGAGGCAGCAGUGGGGAAUAGUGCACAAUGGGCGCAAGCCUGAUGCAGCGACGCCGCGUGAGGGAUGGAGGCCUGCGGGUUGUGAACCUCUUUCGCCAGUGAAGCAGGACUGCCUCGUUUGUGGGUGGGUUGACGGUAGCUGGAGAAGAAGCGCCGGCUAACUACGUG